AUGGAUACAAAUGGAUGUUUCAGUGAUUUGCUAUGGAUGCCUCACAGCCAACACAAAAUAUCCAAAACUUGGGAAAAUCCUAACAUUUGCUUGAAUGUACUAUGUCAUCGUGUUGGCAUCCCAUUUGACCCCCUAUAUACAUCAGCUUUAGAGAACCUUGGUUUUUAUCGGAUUGCUAAGAUGAGGAAAAUCAAUGUCGACAAAUAUUUGAUAUCGGCAUUGGUGGAGCGUUGGUGGCCCAAGACAAACAGUUUUCACCUACAUGUAGGAGAAAUGACUAUUACGUUGCAAGAUGUCAGUUGUUUGUGGGGGUUGCCUAUCCAUGGUAAACCACUUGUUGGAAAAGCUGAUGCACAGUGGUCAGAAAUAGUUGAGAGGUUGCUUGGGAUUCCUGUGGAUGAAAAACACAUGAAACAAAAGAAAAGGCGAAAAGGUGAUGAUAAUGCUGUUGUGAGGAAUUCACAAUACUCUCUAAAUCUGGGAAAACUGCAGGAACACUUCCAUGUGUUGCCGGAUAAUCCAAUGGACAGGGAGAUUAAUUGGCAUGCUCGAGCACUUGUUCUAGAAAUUCUUGGCUCCAUAGUCUUUACUGAUACAUCUGGAGAUGGAGUGCUAGCUAUGUAUCUCCAAUUUAUGCAGGAUUUAGGACAACCAAUAGAGUAUAAUUGGGGAGCAGCUGCUCUUGCUCUAUUGUAUAGACAACUGAGCAUAGGUGCUGAGAAGGAGAGACUAGAAAUUUCAGGUCCUUUAUUGUUGCUAGAGUUAUGGUCUUGGUCCCGUUUGCCACUUGGUUGCCCUAAAGUUAUUUUUGAGAAGCCCAAAGAAGGAGAGGAACUUGAUGAAGAGGAAGAAGAACAAUAA
rnacentral:rRNA from 1 species